AUGCCUGUUCGAGCGUCAUUAUCCUCCCUCAAACCCCGGGUUUGGUGUUGGACCCGAGUUGUGCAUCUGAACAACUGGUCUCAAAGACAAUGA
rnacentral:rRNA from 1 species